rnacentral:rRNA from 1 species
CCUACGUGCGGCAGCAGUGGGGAAUAUUGGACAAUGGGCGAAAGCCUGAUCCAGCCAUGCCGCGUGUGUGAAGAAGGCCUUCGGGUUGUAAAGCACUUUCAGUGGGGAAGAAAGCCUUGGGGCUAAUACCCUCGAGGAAGGACAUCACCCACAGAAGAAGCACCGGCUAACUCCGUGCCAGCAGCCGCGGUAAUACGGAGGGUGCGAGCGUUAAUCGGAAUUACUGGGCGUAAAGCGCGCGUAGGCGGUCUGAUAAGCCGGUUGUGAAAGCCCCGGGCUCAACCUGGGAACGGCAUCCGGAACGGUCAGGCUAGAGUGCAGGAGAGGAAGGUAGAAUUCCCGGUGUAGCGGUGAAAUGCGUAGAGAUCGGGAGGAAUACCAGUGGCGAAGGCGGCCUUCUGGACUGACACUGACGCUGAGGUGCGAAAGCGUGGGUAGCAAACAGGAUUAGAUACCCUGGUAGUC